AAAAGACACAUUACUAAUUCUGCCAUUGGUGGGAUAAGAGAUGGAAUCCUCUCUUAGAGACAGAUCUAACAAGGAAGGAGCAGCAGGAUUAUGAUGGUAAUGCUAUCUACUACAGGAUUGAGUAAGAAAUGGAAAGUUCAUCUAAUAGUGUGUGUUUGUGGGGAGGUGGGGGCAGCACUUUUCAAUGAUCUUGUUUUCACCUCUGAAAAGGAGCUAAAACAAUCCCUUCAAUUGUGUUAAGGGGAAAUAUCUGGAGCAAGAAGGUGUCCCUGACAUUCUCAGUCUCUCCUUCUCUGAGCUUCCAGAACAGUUCUUGCUGCUCUGCUCCUAGUUGAAGGAACUGCUUGAGUUGACAAUGAGGAACCAUUACUAUUAGAAUGGCUUCUUAGGCUUCUUUGUUUUAGGGUGAGGCUCCUGAUACUAGUUAAUUGGCUUCCCAGGUGCUCAGAGGGUGAAGAAUCCGCCUGCAAUGCAGGAGAAGCAGGCAGACAUGAGUUCAUUCCCUGGGUUGGGAAGAUCCCUGGAGGAGGGCUUGGUGACCCACUCCAGUAUUCUGGCCUGAAGAAUCCCACAGACAGAGGAGCCUUAUGGACUACAGUCUAUGGGGUUGCAAAGAGUCUGACAUGACGGAAGCAACUGGACAGCAUGCACCUAAUACGAAUGGAAUUACUUCAUCAUCAUUAUUUCACCAUCAGCACUAAUAAAGAAAAAUGAACUAUAUGAUUUUUUUCAACUGUAAUCACUGGGGAUUGACAAAUGGGUAAAAUAAUGGGGCAGAAAUCUGAAGAUAUUAAAAAUAUAUAUAUAUAAAUAAACUAUGUGCUUCAAGCUACAAUAAAGCUUACCUGGCCCUAUUAACAAUA